CGUCGCUUUGGAGGCUUGGCCUUUUGUUCUCUAAUACCUCCUCCGCACCGUAGAACACUGUCCUGGGUAUGUGUCGCUCAAGUGACGUUGGAGGGAUUCCAACUGAGGCAAUGUGCUUUGGAGACUUGGGAGACUCAGGGGUCACUUCCUGGACGGACAUUUCGGGGCAGACGUGACUGUGCACGUGUGUGCCAGAAUGUCUGCGCAUGACCGUCCGCCCUGACAAAGAUGCUACUGUGACUGUGUCGUCCUCACUGCUCCUUCCAUUGGAACAGUGUUCCGUAUGCAAGGUCAAUGGCACUGAGAAUGACACCCAGACGACCUGUCACUCAUCGCUGGCCCUGGUCCCCGAUGAGGAUGUCACCUUGCUCUUCAACUGCACUGAACCACCACAAAGUGCUUUCGUCAUCCAGAUCCACAGGAAAAUCGAAUGCACCAAUGACACCUGCAGCCCUGCCACAGGUGUGGCUCAGCCUUCCCUCUUCUCAGAGUUCAUUAGAACACUCGUCUGGGAUCUAAGUGUGCUGGAGAAGACCGUUAUGAAUUUGGACUUCCCUGUUGACAGGCUGAAGGAGAUGACUGAAUCAGAGUUGUGUCAAGAUGGCUACCAGUACACUGUAACCAGGACCAACACUGAACGAGAGGUCAAAACUCAGACAUACUGCAAGAAUGGCCUCGUGGCUCACCUUCAUAUACCGAGCCAAGCCACGGUGUCUUUGCAAGUUCCAAAAGGCAGAGAGGUGGAUU
ensembl:lncRNA